rnacentral:lncRNA from 1 species
AUCGGUUGCCAGGUGGAAUUUUCGAAAAUUCAUAAACAUUUAAAAAAAUUGUAAUUAAAUAUUUCGUGGAAGGGCAGACUAGAUUUUUUUAGUGGUUGAAGACUAUAAACCCUAGUUAUCACACACAAAAAAUUAUAAUUUUUUGAAGAUAUGCAUUUUCAUCAUCCAACUUGAAAGACUGUCGUCAAGUACUUUCAGUAAAAAAAAUAGCUAUUCGAACACACCUACUCUGUUUUUGUGAUUCAUUAGAUAGGUAUUUCACUUGACCCA